rnacentral:rRNA from 1 species
ACUCAAAUGAAUUGACGGGGGCCCGCACAAGCGGUGGAGCAUGUGGUUUAAUUCGAUGCAACGCGAAGAACCUUACCUGGGCUAGACAACACAGGACAGUCGUAGAAAUACGAUCUCUCCUUCGGGAGUCUGUGGUUUAGGUGCUGCAUGGCUGUCGUCAGCUCGUAUCGUGAGAUGUCGGGUUAAGUCCCUUAACGAGCGCAACCCUUGUCUUUAGUUGCCAUCAUUCAGUUGGGCACUCUAAAGAGACCGCCGGUGUUAAACCGGAGGAAGGUGGGGAUGACGUCAAGUCCUCAUGGCCCUUAUGUCCAGGGCUACACACGUGCUACAAUGGCAGGUACAAAGGGCUGCUAACCAGCAAUGGGGAGCUAAUCUCAGAAAGCCUGUCUCAGUUCGGAUUGAAGUCUGCAACUCGACUUCAUGAAGCUGGAAUCGCUAGUAAUCGCAGAUCAGCACGCUGCGGUGAAUACGUUCCCGGGCCUUGCACACACCGCCCGU